rnacentral:sRNA from 1 species
AAAACAGGGUGUGAAAGGCAUCUCAGCAGCUGCCCCACCAUGGCUACCUGGGCCCUCCUGCUCCUUGCAGCCACGCUCCUGGGCAACCCAGCCCCUGCCUCCGCAUCUGUGUGGUGAAGGCCAUUGGCCCUCAUCGGUGGGUCUGCGUUUCCUCGGGCCUACACUGUCUAGGAUUGUGCAGGGCUGGUGAGAGAAUGAGACCUCUUCCGUGUUCAAGGCAGACUUCCUGCCCCCUGCACCCUGCUCUCUCCCAGGCCUUGGGGUCAGUGUGAGCCCCAAGGGCAAGGACACUUCUGGAAGGGAGAGUGGAUUUGGCUGGGCCAUCUGGAUGGAAGGUCUGGUCUUCUCUCGUCUGAGCCCUGAGUACUAUGACCUGGCAACAGCCCACCUGUGUGACGAGGAGAAAUCCUGCCCGUGCCUGGCCCAGGAGGGCCCCCAGGGUGACCUGUUGACCAAAACACAGGAGCUGAGCUAUGACUGCAGAACCUGUCUGAGCAUAGUCCAAACACUGAAGGCUAUGGUGAAUCAGCCCACCCAGGAUCUUACUCUGAGACCCAGGCUGGAGUGCAGUGGUGUGAUCUUGGCUCACUGCAACCUCUGCCUCCCUGGCCCAAGAAAUUCUCCUGCCUGAGCCCCCGAGUACCUGGGGCUCCAGGUGUGCACCACCACGCCCAGCUAAUUUUUGUACUUUUGUAGAAACAGGGUCUCACUGUGUUGCCCAGGCUGGUCUCCGACUUCUGAGCUGAAGCAAUCCACCUGCCUUGGCCUCC